GACGAACUCUGGCGGCGCGCCUAACACAUGCAAGUCGAACGAGCGAGAGGAGGUUUACUUUCUCAAGCGUGUGGCGAACGGGUGAGUAACGCGUGAGGAACCUGCCUCAAAGAGGGGGACAACAGUUGGAAACGACUGCUAAUACCGCAUAAGCCCACGACCCGGCAUCGGGUAGAGGGAAAAGGAGCAAUCCGCUUUGAGAUGGCCUCGCGUCCGAUUAGCUAGUUGGUGAGGUAAUGGCCCACCAAGGCGACGAUCGGUAGCCGGACUGAGAGGUUGAACGGCCACAUUGGGACUGAGACACGGCCCACACUCCUACGGGAGGCAGCAGUGGGGAAUAUUGCACAAUGGGGGAAACCCUGAUGCAGCGACGCCGCGUGGAGGAAGAAGGUCUUCGGAUUGUAAACUCCUGUUGUUGAGGAAGAUAAUGACGGUACUCAACAAGGAAGUGACGGCUAACUACGUGCCAGCAGCCGCGGUAAAACGUAGGUCACAAGCGUUGUCCGGAAUUACUGGGUGUAAAGGGAGCGCAGGCGGGAAGACAAGUUGGAAGUGAAAUCCAUGGGCUCAACCCAUGAACCGCUUUCAAAACUGUUUUUCUUGAGUAGUGCAGAGGUAGGCGGAAUUCCCGGUGUAGCGGUGGAGUGCGUAUAUAUCGGGGAGGACCACCGGUGGGGAAGGCGUCUUAUUGGGCACCAACUGACGCUGAGGCUGGAAAGUGUGGGUAGCAAA
rnacentral:rRNA from 1 species